GCUGCCGCUGUCCCACAGAACCGGGCUCUGCAGCGCCUGUCCUCCCUAAGGUGAAGAACGGGUGGGUUUCUGCCUCCACCAGCAAAUGUAUGAAAAGCCGUGAAACAUCAUAAGGAGGGGAAAAAAUUUUAUCAUAAAAAUAGGACAACCAUAUUUUCCACAAACUUCUCAAGUCAUCUGAGGAUGUUUAUCUGGAAACAAACACUGCUGUGAAGGCUGCAUCUGACUGUACUACCUCAGUAUAAGUGUUGCAACAGGUUUCCUGUGAUGUUCUAUACUGAAACUUGCCUGAGAGUUUUCUAAUGUCUGAAAAGAGAAGAGCAGAGAGAAUGGGGGAAGAGUGCAUCCAGGGAUCUGGAUCCUUGGCCCAGGCUGAUGACCUUAAUGCAAAGCCACUGUUGGAAGGGAAGAGAGACUUGGACAAAGUAUCUGUGUCAAAUGCACGUUCCAUUUUUUGUCAUACUCCUCAAUAUGUUAAGAUGUUCUAUAUAGCAAGCUUUUUUACGCAGAGGUUUUCCAGAUAUGUAUUUUUUAGAAUGCAUGAAUAAGAAAGAGC